CCUUGUUUCACAUCAGUAGACCCUCAUGUGCUCAGUCUAUUUCUGCUUCACUGCCUGGUUUUGGGAUUUUUGCCUGCUCCUUGCCUGUUUUUGAUUGCCUUCUCUGGACUGAUUCUUUUCGGUAUAAACCUUUGGACAGAAGCAAGCCUCGUUUCUAAGAGCGACACAGAGAUAUGCACCCCUGAAAGUUCACACUCGGGUGUUGGUGAUGAUCCAGAUCUACCAACCCUGACAAGAACUGACAGCAUAUGCGUAAGGCGUGGCCAUGGUCUCUACACACUCCUGGAUUCAAUCAAUCCUGCCAUCGUCUCGCCUCCAGUCUGCAGUAUUUAAGACCGGCUCAGUCGCCCACUCGUCGCCAGAUUGUACAACAGUGUCAACAGUGGUACUGCACCAGGUCCAACGCUGUCUUGCCUCGUCCUGCUCACCACCUCCAUUCUACCAUUCAAGCUAUCUGGAUCAGGUCCCCCGAGUCGUUCCUUCGGUUCACCUCUUGAGUUCGCCUACCAGUCCCCGAUCACCGCCACACAGCCUGGAGCUCCAAACUCCUUCUGACUGUGAAAUAAAUUCCUUUACUAACCUCAAUCGAUCCUUCUUCUGUGCAUGAGCGCUCUGCGUUUUGGUCCAAGCUUUUGUUUGUGAGAAAUCAUGACUGAACCGAAUAGAUGUAUAACAAUUAAAAUCGACUGUAUUUUAACGUUACCUCCUUUUCGAUUGCAAAUCACCAAACAUGUCAUGUUUCCAUGUCUUUGAUCGAUAUAUUACAGGUUUUCUCAAUCCAUUUGGCACAUUUACUGAAACAAACUUAGAAUCAUCAAAACUCUAAGUACAAUCCUCACACCACGAGUUACAUUCAGCACACCACUCAAUGUGACCUGCAAAAGGUGAUUACUCAAUCAAAAGAAUUAACUCAUGUUUCAAAUGUGAA